GAGUAGAAUAUAGGUAACGUGCCUCUUAGUCUGGGAUAGCCAUUGGAAACGAUGAUUAAUACUGGAUACUCCUUCUAACUCUAAUGUUAGUUGGGAAAGUUUUUCGCUAAGAGAUCGGCCUAUUUCCCAUCAGUUAGUUGGUAGUGUAAGAGACUACCAAGGCAAUGACGGGUAGCGGGUUUGAGAGGAUGAUCCGCCACACUGGUACUGAGACACGGACCAGACUCCUACGGGAGGCAGCAGUGAGGAAUAUUGCACAAUGGAGGAAACUCUGAUGCAGCAACGCCGCGUGGAGGAUGACGCAUUUCGGUGUGUAAACUCCUUUUAUCAAGGAAGAAAAUGACGGUACUUGAUGAAUAAGCACCGGCUAACUCCGUGCCAGCAGCCGCGGUAAUACGGAGGGUGCAAGCGUUAUUCGGAAUCACUGGGCGUAAAGGACGCGUAGGCGGGAAGCCAAGUCUGAUGUGAAAUCCUAUGGCUUAACCAUAGAACUGCAUUGGAAACUGGUUACCUAGAGUAUGGGAGGGGGAGAUGGAAUUAGUGGUGUAGGGGUAAAAUCCGUAGAUAUCACUAGGAAUACCGAAAGCGAAGGCGAUCUCCCUGGAACAAUACUGACGCUAAGGCGUGAAAGCGUGGGGAGCAAACGGGAUUAGAUACCCCGGUAGUCCACGCCCUAAACGAUGUUCACUAGUCGUCGGAAUGCUAGUCAUUUCGGUGAUGCACUUAACAGAUUAAGUGAACCGCCUGGGGAGUACGGUCGCAAGAUUAAAACUCAAAGGAAUAGACGGGGACCCGCACAAGUGGUGGAGCAUGUGGUUUAAUUCGAAGAUACGCGAAGAACCUUACCUAGCCUUGACAUUGAUUGAACACUUUAGAGAUAGAGUGGUGCCCUUCGGGGAACAUGAAAACAGGUGCUGCACGGCUGUCGUCAGCUCGUGUCGUGAGAUGUUGGGUUAAGUCCCGCAACGAGCGCAACCCUCGUCCUUAGUUGCCAGCAGGUUAAGCUGGGCACUCUAAGGAGACUGCCUUCGUAAGGAGGAGGAAGGUGAGGACGACGUCAAGUCAUCAUGGCCCUUAUGGCUAGGGCUACACACGUGCUACAAUGGGGCGUACAGAGUGUUGCGAUACCGCGAGGUGGAGCUAAUCACUUAAAGCGUCUCUCAGUUCGGAUUGGAGUCUGCAACU
rnacentral:rRNA from 1 species